GACAGAGGAGGCGAGCGUUAUCCGGAGUUAUUGGGCGUAAAGGGUACGUAGGCGGCUGGUCAAGUCUGGGGUUAAAGCCCGGAGCCUAACUCCGGAUCGGCCCUGGAAACUGCCAGACUAGAGUAAGGUAGGGGUUGCGGGAAUUCCCGGUGUAGCGGUGAAAUGCGUAGAUAUCGGGAAGAACACCUGAGGCGAAAGCGCGCAACUGGGCCCUAACUGACGCUGAGGUACGAAAGCUAGGGGAGCGAAUGGG
rnacentral:rRNA from 1 species